rnacentral:lncRNA from 1 species
UAAAGAAAAAAUUAAAAAUGCAAAGAAAAUGCAAUGAAUCAUUUUUAUUAGUUAACUUUAGCAAAGUAAACAAAGUGCUCAGUAAUGAGUUUCAUUGGUUCUCCUUGAGAACGUCGCUGGGGAAGAGAAUGUUUGAAAGUUAAGAAGAGCAAGAUCUUCCCUUGCUUGAAGCUAUAGAAGGAUUAUAACUUGAAGGAAGAUUAGCCCUGAGCUAACAUCUGCUGCCAAUCCUCCUCUUUUUGCUGAGGAAGACUGGCCCUGAGCUAACAUCUGUGCCCAUCUUCCUCUACUUUAUAUGUGGGGCGCCUACCAUAGCGUGGCGUGCCAAGCAGUGCCAUGUCCACACCCAGGAUCUGAACCAGCGGACCCUGGACCACCAAAGCGGAAUGUGUGCGCUU